CGUUCAACGUUCCGUGCAUCGGUUGUCGCCGCCGACUGGGAAUCGCAUUAUGUCUGCCCAAGUGGAGAGCAAUGGUGGCAGUGCCGGUGCCAGUGAGAGUAAUAACAAUUGCGUCAAUGAUGUCAGGCUCCUGCUGCUGCCGGAGAACUCCACGGAUUCGGAUGGCAAUCCGGCGAGUGUCGCAUCCAGCGUGGAAUCGCACAAGAAAUUCAUUGAUGACCUGACACGAACCAUUGACGUGGGCCAUGUGAGGAGGAAGCGAUUGUGGCGGGUGCCCUGGUUUAUUUUGCUGAUGAGUUUUGUGCAGAUAUCUUUGCACUGGAUAGCUAGUGAGUGUAUGCAAAAACUACUGAUCUUCAAACCGGAGUGGAACGUCGAGCACUGGCGACUACUGACCUAUAUGCUGCUCCAUUCCGAUUACUGGCAUCUGUCUCUCAACAUUUGCUUUCAGGUAUCUGCCUGGAAGUGGAGCAGGGUCACUGGCGUCUGGCCUUGGUCUAUAUGGUGGGUGGCGUCGCUGGUUCACUGGCCAAUGCAUGGCUGCAGCCCCAUCUCCAUCUGAUGGGUGCCUCCGCCGGGGUCUACGCCAUGCUGGGAAGUCAUGUGCCGCACCUGGUUCUGAACUUUUCGCAAUUGUCGCACCGCUUUGCCCGCAUCGCCUCCCUGCUGAUAUUGUUCCUCAGCGAUGUGGGCUUCACAACUUACCACUUUUGC
rnacentral:misc_RNA from 1 species